CUUAUCCCCUGCUAUGUUAAUAGCUUGCUAGACCCUGCAAGAGCCUCCUGUAUGUGAUUAAAGUUCAAUUUAGAGAUUGAGAUACAAUUAUUUAAGGUAAAUUACAUCUGUUUGAAAGUGAAACCAGUUUUUUUUUCAUGCAGGCUCUGUCAUAGCCAGGGGAGGUGUGGCUAGGGCUGCAUAAACAGAAACAAAGUGAUUUAACUCCUAAAUGACAGUGAAUUGAGCAGUGAAAUUGCAGGGGAAUGAUCUAUACACUAAAACUGCUUUAUUUAGCUAAAGUAAUUUAGGUGACUAUAGUGUUC